GAAUGUUCACGGGAUUGUUAAGGAGAUAUGCACUUAAGGGGAAAAACAUUUAUGUAGAGAGGGAGAAGUAAAAUGGAAAAAACCUGAAGUCUUACCCUUUUUGUCUCUCACACUGAAGGUCUCACUCCAUCAGAAGAUUUAUGCUCUGAAGAACAAAAGUCACUUGAACAAUUUCAGCAUCGAAGAACUGUGGAAGUGACCACUGAACUGGCUGGAAAAGCUGAUUUAUUUAUUCAUUUAUUUUAAUCAGCCUGGGUGCAGUGUUGAAGUUCACAGUUAGGCUGUGGUAGAAAGAAAUCAGGCCUUUUAAGAUCAAAAUCCUGGAAAGAGUACAGGAGUGUGUUUGGUACAGCAAGAUGUGCAAGCGUGUCUUUCCUGAGAAGAUUUACAUUGUGUUUGUUUGUAUAAAUUAGCAGCUGUUAUGUGGUACCGAGGGAGAUAACUUCAGGCAUUGCAAACGGACAUACCUGCUUUCCAGCACUUCCUACUGUAAGGCUGUUAUGUGGUGCUGUCGUGUCUUAAGUUGCUUCAUACUUUUCUGAAUAUUCAGCUUUUGGGGUGGAAGUCUGCCAUGACUCGUACAGCUCUCAAAUUAUCUUGAGGAGGGGUUUAUACAACAAAAGCAGCUCUGCUCUUUCUCAGAACAUGCAUAUGGAAGUGCAUUGCUUUGCCCAUGUUAGACACCCGUGGUUAUGACUCUGAGAAGCUUAAGCAUCUCUGUUCUUUGACAGAAGUGUUUUCUGAAUGUUUUGUUCAACAAGAUAUUUUCACCAUUUUGUGAGUGUUCUUUGGGGGGUGGUGUUGGUGGUUGUCAUUUGUAAUAAUGGCUGGAAUCUGUUUAUGAACCUCUGGAAUCUGUUUCCACAACUGCUCUAUAUUACAGCUGGCUGAAACUUGGCAUGUCUGUUUUGAACGAAAUGCCAACACUGAAUUUUCCUCUUUUGAAUGAAGAUGAAAACAAAUAUUAAUUUGUCUGUAAAACUGUUUUUUUUAUUUUGAAAAACAUGACUUCAGCUUCACUGAGGCUUUGUUUUAAUGAAAUCAAAACAUUGUAUUCGGCUUUCAACUCUUCUAAUUGUCCCGUGUAAUAGGAAAUAACAUUCGAAAUGAAAUGUUUUAGAAUGAAGCGUGCCCUUAUAUAUAAAAAAAAAAAACAAUAAUUCAAAACAUCAUU
ensembl:lncRNA